rnacentral:snoRNA from 1 species
AAGACUAUACUUCCAAGAAUCAUUUCUAUAGUUUGUUACUAGAGAAGUUUCUAUGAACAUGUAGAGCACUGGAAACCAUGGGGAAGAGAAGCACUGUUCUCUCUUGGAGUGAAACUGGCCCUAAGUUUGCUUCUGCAAAGGCCAUUGUCAUUGAUGGUCUUUCUUCUCCCUGUGGGAGGAAGAGAGAGGGUAGAUUUGUGAGAG